GCUCAGGAUGAACGCUGGCGGCGUGCUUAACACAUGCAAGUCGAACGAAGAAGGUUGGAAUGAGAGCUUCGGCAGGAUUUCUUUCCAUCUUAGUGGCGGACGGGUGAGUAACGUGUGGGCAACCUGCCCUGUACUGGGGAAUAAUCAUUGGAAACGAUGACUAAUACCGCAUGUGGUUCUCGGAAGGCAUCUUCUGAGGAAGAAAGGAUUUAUUCGGUACAGGAUGGGCCCGCAUCUGAUUAGCUAGUUGGUGAGAUAACAGCCCACCAAGGCGACGAUCAGUAGCCGACCUGAGAGGGUGAUCGGCCACAUUGGGACUGAGACACGGCCCAAACUCCUACGGGAGGCAGCAGUA
rnacentral:rRNA from 1 species